UGUACUUUUAGUAGAGACAGGGUUUCACUUUGUUGGCCAGGCUGGUCUGGAACUCCUGACCUCAUGAUCCACCCGCUUGGGCCUCCCGAAGUGCUGGGAUUACAGGCGUGAGCCAGUACACCUGGCUGUAUUUCUAGAACAGCAGGAACAAAGGCAUGGAAUUAAGGGAGGUAAGUAAUCUUGGUCAGAAUCAUACAGUAGGACAAUAUGAGAUGAAAUUUGAGGGAGGCUCAAGUGGAUUAGCUUUUUAUUUCCUAAAGAUGAAGGGGCCAAGAUCAGGUUCCGGACUUGAGGAAUGGAAAAUAUUUGGAAUAAGCCCUCAAAGUUAGGGCCAAAAGAAUCCAAGUGAAGGCGAGUUUAGUUUUUGUGGUCUUAGCCUGUUUCUCUAAUGUGGGCGCACUACAUUAGAAAAAAGUGGGAAGGCCCUUUUGACUCUCUGACCAGCCCAUGGUGGUUGGCAAGAACAAGCACCUUACGAAAGGUGGCAAAAAGGGAGCCAAGAAGAAAGUGGCUGAUCCAUUUUCUAAGAAAGAUUGGUAUGAUGUGAAAGCACCUGCUAUGUCCAAUAUAAGAAAUAUUGGAAAGACAUCACCAGGACCCAAGGAACCAAAAUUGCAUCUGAUGGUCUCAAGCGUUGUAUGUUUUAAGUGAGUCUUGCUGAUUUGCAGAAUGAUGAAAUUGCGUUUAGAAAAUUCAAGCUGAUUACUGAAGAUGUUCAGGACGAAAACUGCCUAACUUCCAUGGCGUGGAUCUUACCUGUGACAAAAUGUAUUCCAUGGUCAAAAAGUGGCAGACAAUGAUUGAAGCUCAUGUUGAUGUCAAGACUACUGAUGGUUACUUGCUUCAUCUGUUCUGUGUUGGUUUGACUAAAAAACGCAACAAUCAGAUACGGAAGACCUCUUAUGCUCAGUACCAACAGGUCCGCCAAAUCCAGAAGAAGAUGAUGGAAAUCAUGACCCGAGAGGUGCAGACAAAUGACUUGAAAGAAGUGGUCAAUAAAUUGAUUCCAGACAGCACUGGAAAAGACAUAGAAAAGGCUUGCCAAUCUAUUUAUCCUCUCCAUGGUGUCUUCGUUAGAAAAGUAAAACUGCUGAAGAAUCCCAGGUUUGAAUUGGGAAAGCUCAUGGAGCUUCAUGGUGAAGGCAGGAGUUCUGGAAAAGCCACUGGGGACGAGACAGGUGCUAAAGUGGAACGAGCUGAUGCAUAUGAACCACCAGUCCAAGAAUCUGUUUAAAGUUCAGACUUCAAAUAGUGUCAAAUAAAAAGUGCUAUUUGUGAAAAAAAGAAAAAAGAAAAAAGUGGGAGGGGUAGUCCAGAUAUGACAGAAGGAUAAAGGGUGAAGGAAUCAAGAAUACAAAUGAGAAUGUCUUUAAAAUUGCCAAACACAGAUUCCAGUAUGUACAGGAAGACAAAGGAGACAGGUUAAUUAGGGAGUGGGAUAGGGCUCAGGGACCAAAGCCUCCUAAGGGAUGCGCAAAGGUAGUUUCCAGGAAGGGACUCUUGAUUUGGUUGACUGGAAGAACCAAACAACAAUUAGCCCUAGGCUUCCUCCAAGGAAAUUCCCUAAAGAAAAGUCUUGCUAUUCAGAGUGUUAUUAAGUCCCAGGGUCUUCGUUGCCACUAAUAGAUCUUUUGGAGGGCCUGAUAUCAGAUAUUUCCCUAUUCUUAGGAGGAGAUGGCUGUUCAGGGAAGGCCAGAUGUUAACAGAAGAAACAGAAGGAUAUUAAACAUUCCAUUAAGCUGGUGAUUGGACAAGAAAAAAA